rnacentral:rRNA from 1 species
UGGGGAAUAUUGCACAAUGGGCGCAAGCCUGAUGCAGCCAUGCCGCGUGUAUGAAGAAGGCCUUCGGGUUGUAAAGUACUUUCAGUCGGGAGGAAGGUGGUAAGGUUAAUAACCUUAUCAAUUGACGUUACCGACAGAAGAAGCACCGGCUAACUCCGUGCCAGCAGCCGCGGUAAUACGGAGGGUGCAAGCGUUAAUCGGAAUUACUGGGCGUAAAGCGCACGCAGGCGGUUUGUUAAGUCAGAUGUGAAAUCCCCGGGCUCAACCUGGGAACUGCAUCUGAUACUGGCAAGCUUGAGUCUCGUAGAGGGGGGUAGAAUUCCAUGUGUAGCGGUGAAAUGCGUAGAGAUGUGGAGGAAUACCGGUGGCGAAGGCGGCCCCCUGGACAAAGACUGACGCUCAGGUGCGAAAGCGUGGGGAGCAAACAGG